AUUCUUCACUUCCCAUUGUCUCUGUCUCUCUCUUUCUCCUCUGCUUCCCCUCCCCCUACAACCAAAGUCAAGAGUGCAGACCCCAUGAUCACCUGAUAUCUCCAAGCAAGCAGGUGUUCUUUUCAGAAGCCAGAAGCUGAUAACCUGGGCUUUCUGAUCUAACCCCAGCCCAAAUUCUUUGCAAUGGAGGAAUUGGGGAGGAGAUUCUUCCUACUGAGAAGUGGGUGCCAACUCUCCCUUUCAAAUUUGUUCAUCAACAAACUAAAGGGGAUGCCAGAAAUGUCUGGAGCAAUGGAAGAACCACUGGAAUAAAGAGUCCUCAUUGCCUAAAUCCAUCUUGAUUGCAACUCAGUGUCCAACAUCUAAGGAGAAAUGGAUUUAACAGAGUAUGACAACAUUGGCUCAUCUUGAGUCAUUCCUCUUGUUCAAAAGGACAAACCACCACUAACUUUCCACAGAAUUAACUCUUGAGGGAUACAGUGCUCCUGCCUGAUUCCAUCUACUUAACCCACUCUCCAAGAGCUAGAAUCAGAUUUCAACCGUAUGGAAUCAUCUACAAUGCAGCAGAUGGGUUUACAAGUCUCUUGGUCUCUUCGUGUAAUUAACAGCCAAGAAGUCUAAAGCUUGCAUUGUUUACGUGGAAGAUGUUUCUUGCCCAUUCCCACGCCAUGCCAUCUGAAAUCGCUCCUUUUUUUAUUUUUUCUGUGCAGUUUUUUUAACUUUGUGGGAUCCUCUGCAUAUAAAACUCCAUUCAACUACUUCAUCCUACUGUAGAAAGCUACUUCCCUAUGAGUUUAGCUCCAUGAUUUACAAUGGUUUCUUUUCCCAUUUGCUGUCUGAAUUAUGUUUUACAAGAACCCUUUGAAAUAAGGAAGGCAUGCAUCAUCUUUCCCUUUUACAGGCAAAGAAACUGAGGCACAGAAAGGCUUAGUAGUAGGUGAUCCUGCAAGAAUUCAAAUGACUUGUCUGGUUCUAAGUUGAGUGCUCUUUUUCUGAUGCCACAUGUCUUUUCUCCAGAGAAGUAACCUACCUAGACCCAGAGGGAGCUUGAAGAGAGAUUUUCGUCUUACUGUGAGAAAACAAAGACCCAGAGAGUGGAGGGUUUGAGACCAUCCUGGUCAUUGCCAUUAUUUCUUUUCAAAGAGACAGAGGCCUCUGUAUGGAGUUGCUUCUGUGUUUGUGGUUUGAAUUUUGCUGGUGAGAUGUGAGACACAAAAGAAAUUUGAGAGAUUGUGUCUGACCUUAAGGAAUUUACUAAGAAACCAGGGAGAUAAAGCUAUCUUAUAAGAUGCUUAAAACAACUAAAGGCAACCUUAGAUUGGGAGCUACUCCCUCCAAGAUAGAAAUUUCUUAACCUUUGCUUUGAAGUCUGGUUUCUUUUUCAAGAUCCAGAAUCAUAAUCCAUGGUUAGAUUUAGGUUCAAGCCCUUCCUAACUGAUCAUGUUCUAAAUUCCUAUAGUGGUAAUCAAUGUCAUGUCAGCUCAUGUGAAGGUUUUUUUCUCCCUCUUUUUUAGUGGUGAGGAAAAGAUGUAGUAGUAUUUUUCAUGGACUUUGCAGCCUUCUUCAUGGCAAAUAACUUAUUGGAUUAGUUUUCUGUUCUUUUUAAUCGAGGAGCUCUACAUCUGACUUAGUAGAAUACUUUUUCUAAAGGAGACUUGGGUGUCUUACUUAACAGUUGCUGAAGUAACCUGUGCUUUCUCCCCUGACUCUCCCCGGGAAGAAGGAGUAGCAAUCGUGUCCCAAGUCCUUGAGGACUUCACAGGGCAUUCCAAUGUCCUGAGAAUAUACCUGCCUAAGCCCCAAUUAUCAAUCAUGGAGGGUGCCCCUGGAUGCUCCUUCUGGGCCGUGGGGUGGCAUGCGCUGCACAGGCCUGGAUUUGAGAAGCACCCCCACCAAGGCACCUCCUUCACCCUCGCCCAGGGAAGUGAUGCGGGAGCUGAGGAAGCCUGAGCUCUACACCCCUCACGAUGCAGAG